UAAGCAUCUUUCUUGCUUCACUUGUCACCAUUUCCACUUUGGUGAAAUUGGGAGUAACCGAGAUGAAAAAGGGGCUUUACUAAGGUUUCAACUUGGUCUUUUGUGGAGUGGGGAGCAAGGAUCGAGCUGGAGAAGAUUUCCAUGAUGAAUUAGAAUCUAGUGUUGCCAUUUUAAUCUUUCUAGCUACUAAUAGCUACUAAUGUAUAGUAGCUUUUGCAAAGUAGAUUUGUAUUCUUUUCCAUCUAGUCCUCAAAUAGGUUAGGUCAAGUACUCUACUUGUGAAAGGUAGCUUUCCAUGUGUACCUUAAGCUCCUAACAUUUCCUUUUUUGAGGGUGUAACUCAUCACUUUUACA